GUGCUCACUUUGGCAGCGCAUGUACUAAAAUUGGAAUGAUAUAGAGAAUAUUAGGAAUGAUAUAGAGAAUAUUAGCAUGGCCGUUGUGCAAGGACGACACACAAAUUUACGAAGUGUUACAUAGUUGU
rnacentral:snRNA from 1 species